rnacentral:rRNA from 1 species
UACAGAGGGGGCAAGCGUUGUUCGGAAUUACUGGGCGUAAAGGGCGCGUAGGCGGCCUGUUAAGUCGAACGUGAAAUCCCCGGGCUCAACCCGGGAACUGCGUCCGAAACUGGCAGGCUCGAAUUCGGGAGAGGGAUGCGGAAUUCCAGGUGUAGCGGUGAAAUGCGUAGAUAUCUGGAGGAACAUCGGUGGCGAAGGCGGCAUCCUGGACCGAUAUUGACGCUGAGGCGCGAAAGCCAGGGGAGCAAACAGG